AAAGACAAAAAAUUUCGUUGAUAGAACUAUAAAUUUGGGAAUGAUGGCUUUCUUUUAAAUGCCUGUACUACAUAGAAGAAUGGAAUUCUUUAGGGCCUGCUUGGAUGGUUGCAGACAUUAUUCAUUGGAUAAAGCGACAUCAGGAUCAGAAGGGGAUACACACACGGGAGAAAGAAGUGCUGACAUCUGAACCCCUUCGGAGCAUGCAAUACCAGAAAGAUUAAGAUAACACUCCAUCUAAAAGGUGAUCUAGGAAAUCCUGAUCUUUUCAGGAUUGUGUCCGAUGAAUCCCCCAAUCAUCACAAUCUAGUUCGUUCCAUCUGCACUUCCUUCUACGCCAAGCCCAACAUACUGUUUAUCCAGGGAUAGUGUGUUCAACAAUCCAAACAGGGCCUUAUCAAACUAGCUUUUGAAUUGAGUAGAGACUAUCAUCUAUGUGUUGUGCUUGCUUCUUCUAAAACCGGAUGCAAGGACUUAGCAACUUCCCUUAUGUCAAAGCCCCUGUCAUACCUGUGCAAAGUUCCUUGUGCAUCUUGCAUAUCACUUUACACUAGUCCUUAAGCCAAGCCCUCAAGUCCUGGGCACCCCACCCCCUUUUGCAAGAGAGAAACUAAAAGGUUCAACAAGUACAAAGGCGACUAGUAUUGUUUGCAUGUUUUGGUAUGGUUACAGUUCAUUGUCUCUUGCCUUCAAUAUAGACCUCCAAUUUGCCUAUAGAGUCUUGGUAUUAUGCCAAGUAGUACUACUUAUCUAUUGGAUGUACACCAUGUAUAAGGUAUUUAAGAUGCUCAAUAGCACCUUUUAGAAUACUUUAUGCUUGUCACAAGCCCUCCCACAUUCUUACGAAGUCUAAAAAACUCUUAGUACUACCCAAGGUUUCAAAUCUUGACUGCACCACAUUGUAUUGACCUCAUACUGUGCAACCUAUUGACAUGGGGCUAUCAUCCAGCUCAGUGAACAAUUAGUA
rnacentral:lncRNA from 1 species